CGACAAAUGGCCGCGGCGGCCUCAGGUCCGGCGUCACUCAGACAAGGGGGCGGGUGGAGGAGGAAGCGGCCAAGUCCACAGUCCUGCUCCCGUGCCGCCGAGCACCGCCCACCUCAGCUGACCAGCCCUGUCCGCUACUAGGCCUCGCCUAGAGGAGGGAAAGGCCGUGGCGUCCGCUCCCUCCGCGGCUCAUGGCGACGACGCUUGGCACAUCCGGGACCCUCAGGCCGCUGCAGUCGCGUCGCCGGCUGCUCGGGCCCCAGCCCCGGCCGCUGUGGUGACUCCGCCGCGCCUCGCCGUCGCCCCCGUCCCGCCCGCCGCCCCAGCCGCCAGGGACAUGUCUAACCUCGGAGGCCGUAGGAACGGGCCUGUCGAAGUGCGCCUGACAGGAAUCAUAUUGACAGGUCAUGAAAAUGAGACCAAAAGAUCUCUGGAAGCGAUUAAUGAUAAAAUUUCAUGGAGAAGAAGGCCUUGACUACGGAGGGGUUGCCAGGGUGAUGACAACUCCGUGAGGGUGGAGAUUAUACAUCUCUCAUCAUUUCAGCAACAAGGAAAUAAAUUAGUGGCAGAGUAAGGGUGACUUGAGAUCUCUUGGAAGCGAGGAUCCUUUAAAAAUCCUGGAAUAUACACUGCAGUAAAAGAACAAAGCAUACCUCAGCCUUAAACGACUGAAGAAGAAUGUCAAGUGGGGAAGUGGCUUUGGUUUUCAGUUUGUGGGUUCUGAAUCCACACAAAGACAGGAUUGCUUUCUGAAAACCUGAAUUAAUUAUUGUCCUUACCUCAAUAAGACAAAAAAUUAGAAUCAAAAUCGUUAGUAUUACAGUCACAGAUAUCACCAAGAUUA
rnacentral:lncRNA from 10 species